rnacentral:lncRNA from 1 species
CAAGAAUAGGCCCACAUCAGCUAGUUUUAUCAUGUUCUCCACCACCCAGAAGUGGAUGGUCAGAGAGUUGAUGGUAGUCUGGGCAAAGGCACAGUUCGCAGUGCCUGCUCAGAGCUGGUAUGCCCCAAGGAUGGAUGAUCUUCUCCCAGGACCCAGUAUAGAUUUUGAGUUAAAGGACUUUAGAUACAUUGCUUUGCCCUGGGGAAGAAUACACGUGUUCAGGAGUCAAAGGUGAAAAACAUCAGCUUUUUUGCUGUUUUGGGUUUUUGUUGUUAUUGUCGUUGUUUUGUGUUUUGAAUUUGUGCCUUCUGUCCUUGUAAUGCUGGGUUCUGCAGGUUCAGGAGUCCUGGUCCCCAAAACGGAAACACUUCCAACAGGGGACACAGCAAGUUGCUACUGUCCCCCAGUUCCUUUGGGCAAGAAGGGAAUUGUAAUAGUUUCCUAAGGCAACCAUAACACAUAAUUACUAUAAACUGGUCAUUUAAAAAAACAAAAAUUUUGUCUCCCACAGUUGUGGGGCCUAGAAGUCUGAAAUCAAGUUACUGGCAGGGCCUUGCUCUCUCUGAAGGCUUUAGCGAAGAAUCUGUUCUUGCCCCUUCCCCAGCUUCAAUGGCUCCAUACAAUCCCUGGUGCUCCUGGGCUUCCAUCUGCAUCACUUCAGCCUUGCUUCACUUUCACAUGGCCUUUGUCUGCAUCCUUGCCUGUGUUUGUGUGUUGUCUCCUUUUCUUAGAAGGACACCAUCAUCCAGUAGGACCUUAUCCUAACUUCCUCACUUAUAUCUGCACAGACCUUAUUUCCAAAUAAGGUCACUUUCUGAGGCUCCAGGUGGACAUGAAUUGGGGAAUCGUGAUGAUUCUGGGGAUGCCCAGAUUAAACAUUUUUUUCUAGGUGUAGUUAAUGAUCAAACAUUAUUUUUAGGGAAAUUCCUCGGACUGGAAUUUAUGCCAUCACUCUGAUUGAAUUACACCACCAGCUUUCCUGGGCCUACAGGUUGCAAAUAGCAGAUCAUGGGACAUCUCAGCCUCCAUAAUCAUGAGUGGGAAGAAAAAAAAAAUUGCUCUCCUUGCUGGGUCGGAUCUUGGGCAGAUAAAGGAACUUCAACUUCUUUGGAAGAGAUGGUGGCAGCGAAGAGGUCAGAGAGACCUUGAGGCUUUGUCUUCAGUUGAGCAUGUCAAGACACCAUAUUUUGGGGCAUCAGUUUUUGAGUCCCAAGAUGGGAGUUAGGAAUUGUGUUCUACAUUGAGGAUAGAGAAAAAUGUAAUAAAAUUUAAGAAGUACCUACAUAUAUAAGCUAUAAUUUUAUUAAUGCAUUGUCAAUAUUGACAUUUUC